ensembl:lncRNA
CUGACCCUGUAUAUAGUAUGGUAUUAACUGACCCUGUAUAUAGUAUGGUAUUAACUGACCCUGUAUAUAGUAUUAACUGACCCUGUAUAUAGUAUGGUAUUAACUGACCCUGUAUAUAGUAUUAACUGACCCUGUAUAUAGUAUGGUAUUAACUGACCCUGUAUAUAGUAUGGUAUUAACGGACCCUGUAUAUAGUAUGGUAUUAACGGACCCUGUUUAUAGUAUGGUAUUAACUGACCCUGUAUAUAGUAUGGUACUAACUGACCCUGUAUAUAGUAUGGUAUUAACUGACCCUGUAUAUAGUAUGGUACUAACUGACCCUGUAUAUAGUAUGGUAUUAACUGACCCUGUAUAUAGUAUGGUACUAACUGACCCUGUAUAUAGUGU